AGAGUUUGAUCCUGGCUCAGAAUCAACGCUGGCGGCGUGCCUAACACAUGCAAGUCGAACGCGACUUAGGCUUCGGUCUAAGUUGAGUGGCGAACGGGUGAGUAACACGUGGGUGACCUACCUUCGAGUGGGGGAUAACGUCCCGAAAGGGACGCUAAUACCGCAUAACAUCCUGCCUUUGAACAGGUGGAGAUCAAAGCCGGGGAUCGCAAGACCUGGCGCUUGAUGAGGGGCCCGCGCCUGAUUAGCUAGUUGGUGGGGUAAUGGCUCACCAAGGCGACGAUCAGCAUCCGGCCUGAGAGGGCGGACGGACACACUGGGACUGAGACACGGCCCAGACUCCUACGGGAGGCAGCAGUGGGGAAUUUUGCACAAUGGGCGAAAGCCUGAUGCAGCAACGCCGCGUGAGGGAUGAAGGCCCUCGGGUUGUAAACCUCUUUUAUCAGGGACGAUGAUGACGGUACCUGAUGAAUAAGCCACGGCUAACUACGUGCCAGCAGCGGCGGUAAUUC
rnacentral:rRNA from 1 species